UAAGAAUCUUUGGUCUCUGAUUAGACUUU
rnacentral:piRNA from 1 species